AUCGAACGCUGGCGGCAUGCCUUACACAUGCAAGUCGAACGGCAGCACGGGUGCUUGCACCUGGUGGCGAGUGGCGAACGGGUGAGUAAUACAUCGGAACAUGUCCUGUAGUGGGGGAUAGCCCGGCGAAAGCCGGAUUAAUACCGCAUACGAUCCACGGAUGAAAGCGGGGGACCUUCGGGCCUCGCGCUAUAGGGUUGGCCGAUGGCUGAUUAGCUAGUUGGUGGGGUAAAGGCCUACCAAGGCGACGAUCAGUAGCUGGUCUGAGAGGACGACCAGCCACACUGGGACUGAGACACGGCCCAGACUCCUACGGGAGGCAGCAGUGGGGAAUUUUGGACAAUGGGCGAAAGCCUGAUCCAGCAAUGCCGCGUGUGUGAAGAAGGCCUUCGGGUUGUAAAGCACUUUUGUCCGGAAAGAAAUCCUUGACUCUAAUACAGUCGGGGGAUGACGGUACCGGAAGAAUAAGCACCGGCUAACUACGUG
rnacentral:rRNA from 1 species